CUAAGUGAGGAGCUUCAGUUGUCCAUUGUCGAAGCUGACAUCAGCCUCUACCCACCAUCAGUUGUCUUUUAUUAGACAAACUUGAACAAACAACUUUGUCUAAGCUGGGAGAGAAGGAGCUUUGGAGUGACGGAAGGAAGCCAAGACCUGUGAAUAUGCAAAGAAACACAGCUAGAAUCAUCAGAGUGAUCCCACAAGGAAGACACAUGCUCCUGAAAGAAAGGCCAAAUUUUAAAGUUUUGUGAUCAUGCUGAUAUUUGAAGGUAAUUCUGCAGAUAUGGAUGCUAUACAUCGCACCACUUUCUGUAUUAUCAACUGAAAACAAAAAAAUGUCCCAUAGUAUCCAGAAACAGACUUAGGGAAAUUACACAUGUUAUCCUAAAGGGUAAGUUCUUACCUCUCAUUUAUUGGGUUUAUUUUAUGUUGCCUAUGAUACAUUUAACACAAAGGCGUGUCUGUGAUUGAUA
rnacentral:lncRNA from 1 species